UACAGAGGUCCCGAGCGUUGUUCGGAUUCACUGGGCGUAAAGGGUGCGUAGGUGGCUUGAAAAGUUUGAUGUGAAAGCUCAGGGCUUAACCCUGAAAUGGCAUUGAAUACUGUCGGGCUGGAGGUUUGGAGGGGGGACUGGAAUUCUUGGUGUAGCAGUGAAAUGCGUAGAUAUCAGGAGGAACACCGAUGGCGAAGGCAGGUCUCUGGGCCGCAACUGACGCUGAGGAGCGAAAAGCAUGGGGAGCGAACAGG
rnacentral:rRNA from 1 species